rnacentral:lncRNA from 1 species
UUGCUUUCAACUGUUUUAUUGCUAAACUAUCAUGAUACAAGCCGUAUAAAAAUACUUUACAUAUAGCAAAAAUAAACUACAUUAAACUGGAGAUUAAAAACAUUUUGCAUAGGAAUGUGAUGUAUUCAAACUUCUUUAACAGUCAAGAUUUCGAAAAUCCUAAGCCUUCUAGCACCACCCCGUUGGAGAGCAUUCUUUGUAUUUGUUAGAGAACUAAUUAGGGCGUUGUCAACAUUUCUCCCCUCUAAGGGCUGUAGAGGCAAUGGGAGUAAGGAAGGUUCUUUAACAAGAUGCUCAGGAUGCUAAGCUUGUUCUAACCAAAGCCUCUGUCUGCUCGAGCCAAUCGCAAUGCUGAAGGCACCUGCUCUGCUGGAAACAGUGGCCUUUGCAUCCAAACCCUGAACCAGGCAGGCGUUUGGUCUGCUAACAGCCGCAUCAAGGCAGUGUUAAAUGAUUUUUUUCCAGCACCCAGCACCCCAUCUCCUUUUCAGAGGGGCUUGCUUUAGGGACCAUCUCUAGUUUACCAAUCACAGAAACGUUUGUUUUUAAACAAACUGAGUUAAGAUGGUGAUGGUGGUUGUAACUCCAGGUACUCCUGAAAGCUGAGGGUAAUUGAUGUUUGCAGUCCCGGUUCUGUGUGAUCCUUCUGUAGCUGGAAUGCAGGAAAACACUUGCAUUGGCUGCUUUGGCUCCAUGAGAUUUAUUGCCCAAGCUCCAGGCUUGGGAGAUGGGAGGUUAGGAUGUGUUGGGUGGUACCUGCUAAAGGGUUAUCCCUCCAAAAAAAAUGAGUGCAGGAAAGUGUAGCCCAGCUUAUCAAGAGUGUCACAACCCCCAUGCCUCUUGUAAACAUGAACAAAAACUGUUAGCCGGACCUCUGACAGUCUUUCAAUUCUGGACAAUAGAAAGCACUUGGAAAGUGUUUGACAUGAAAAUAAACACAUUCAGCCCUCCCUUUAGUUCAGAGUGACAAGUAGAACACAUCAGCUUCCAAUCUAAAUGUGACAGCUCCCACACUGGCCAAGGCUGGCUUCCUGAGACCGACGUCUUGGCUACUGGAUGUAAACAAGAAAGGCCACAUCAGUGCUUCCCAGUUUCUAGAAGGAAUCAAUCUGAUUCAUCUAGGGUGUGUCUAUGCUGGAAAACUCUGCAGGUCCUUUAGAUAAUGCGUAUGGGGGUUACCUACCAGGAUUUGGUCAGCUCUGUAAACAUGAGCCUGCCCUUAGGGUUCUGUGAACAUUUUCCAGAAUCCCAUCACAACACAGGCAGUUUUGUUUUUAAAUCAAAAUCACCUCCUGGACUACUGCUUUGGGGGAAUCUCAACACUUCACAAUUCUCCUCCGUGACCAGAGGAAGGCUCAGAGCUGAAGUCCGUGUCCUCUCAAGCAACAAUUAGAAGGUUCCUUCUUCUACAAAGCCAUCCCUUACUCCAGAGACACUUUCUUCUACGACUCAGGUGACUCGACAGACUCGGAGGUGGGUUUUUGUGUUUUGCUUUGGUUUGUUUUUGCUUUUUGUUUUUUGUUGUUUUUCUUUUUUUUUUUUUUCUUUUUUUUUUGCUAGAAUGAAUUACAAAAUUUCAAGAAUACAUCAUUUCCCUUAGGGGAAAGAAAUCAUCAAUGUAUGUAAAAAGUAACACUUGAAAAAGAUUUCAACCAUUUAUAAAUAUUUUCUGAUUCCAACAGGGGGUGUUGUGUGAUAUUUUCAGGACAGAUAAAAAGCAUAAAAAUACAGAUAAGAAAAUAAAAUUUAAUAACCUACUAAUUUGGAUUGCUCUUAUAUAUUAUCAAGCAGCAAUAUUUUUGUACAAUACAGGAAGACUUGCAAACUUUGGAAAUAUACUACAUUCAGCAACACGGUAGAUUCCUGUUGGCAGUGCUACAUAUUUACAUUACCUUGGAUGUAGCAAGUGCAAACCUCGACCUGAGAUCCUUCUAUCACGUGCAACACACACAUCUUUACCACUUAGACAUCCUUAUUUUCUCCUUCUCUUAGAGGAUCUUAUUGCCUCUUCCCAGACUGAAAAAUAUUUCAUGAGCAAUUCCUCUUGGCAAAACUUCCUCCUGGCAAUUGUUACCGACCCAACUUUCUUGAUAGCUGUCGGCUCCUGAUACACAUUCUCUUACCUGUUUAGGUCUCAAACUAAUGCUUUGGUUUCUCUUUCCUUUGUUAUUCGGUAGAGUUGUUUAUGAAAGUGCUUCCUCUACUAUCCAGCUAGGAGGUCUUAGAAAAAGCUUGUGUGUACAUUAGACACACACACGUACAUAUGUGGGUGGAUCCGUACAAGUGUCUGAACUAGGCGGGAGGCCCUGUUCACCGACAGGAGACUGAUGGAAAACACGUUAGCCCUUGUUCGGCCCAUCCACGUACGAUGAAGCAGAGCAAGUUUGCUACAAUAGCAGGAAGGCACUUGGGUAGAACAUUCAGAUAACCAAGGAAAGGCCAAGUUCCCUCAUGUGCAAAAAAAAAAAAAAAAAAAAAAAGU